CGCACAUUGCGCCCUUUGGUAUUCCGAAGGGCAUGCCUGUUCGAGCGUCAUUAUCACCUCUCAAGCCCGGCUUGCUGUUGGACUUUGAAGAUCUCUUUGGCUAGAGAUCGGUCCCAAAGAUAAUGACGGUGUCUUCGAGGACCCCAGUACAUUGAGCUAUACUUUAGCACGUACGAGGCGGAAGUCGAGACCCGGUCUUACCCAGUUUAUUUUACUCAAGGUUGACCUCGGAUCAGGUAGGGAUACCCGCUGAACUUAA
rnacentral:misc_RNA from 1 species